GGGUUGUGAGGUUAAGCGACUAAGCGUACACGGUGGAUGCCCUGGCAGUCAGAGGCGAUGAAGGACGUGCUAAUCUGCGAUAAGCGUCGGUAAGGUGAUAUGAACCGUUAUAACCGGCGAUUUCCGAAUGGGGAAACCCAGUGUGAUUCGUCACACUAUCAUUAACUGAAUCCAUAGGUUAAUGAGGCGAACCGGGGGAACUGAAACAUCUAAGUACCCCGAGGAAAAGAAAUCAACCGAGAUUCCCCCAGUAGCGGCGAGCGAACGGGGAGGAGCCCAGAGCCUGAAUCAGUGUGUGUGUUAGUGGAAGCGUCUGGAAAGGCGCGCGAUACAGGGUGACAGCCCCGUACACAAAAAUGCACAUGCUGUGAGCUCGAUGAGUAGGGCGGGACACGUGGUAUCCUGUCUGAAUAUGGGGGGACCAUCCUCCAAGGCUAAAUACUCCUGACUGACCGAUAGUGAACCAGUACCGUGAGGGAAAGGCGAAAAGAACCCCGGCGAGGGGAGUGAAAAAGAACCUGAAACCGUGUACGUACAAGCAGUGGGAGCACAGAGCAAUCUGUGUGACUGCGUACCUUUUGUAUAAUGGGUCAGCGACUUAUAUUCUGUAGCAAGGUUAACCGAAUAGGGGAGCCGAAGGGAAACCGAGUCUUAACUGGGCGUUAAGUUGCAGGGUAUAGACCCGAAACCCGGUGAUCUAGCCAUGGGCAGGUUGAAGGUUGGGUAACACUAACUGGAGGACCGAACCGACUAAUGUUGAAAAAUUAGCGGAUGACUUGUGGCUGGGGGUGAAAGGCCAAUCAAACCGGGAGAUAGCUGGUUCUCCCCGAAAGCUAUUUAGGUAGCGCCUCGUGAAUUCAUCUCCGGGGGUAGAGCACUGUUUCGGCAAGGGGGUCAUCCCGACUUACCAACCCGAUGCAAACUGCGAAUACCGGAGAAUGUUAUCACGGGAGACACACGGCGGGUGCUAACGUCCGUCGUGAAGAGGGAAACAACCCAGACCGCCAGCUAAGGUCCCAAAGUCAUGGUUAAGUGGGAAACGAUGUGGGAAGGCCCAGACAGCCAGGAUGUUGGCUUAGAAGCAGCCAUCAUUUAAAGAAAGCGUAAUAGCUCACUGGUCGAGUCGGCCUGCGCGGAAGAUGUAACGGGGCUAAACCAUGCACCGAAGCUGCGGCAGCGACGCUUAUGCGUUGUUGGGUAGGGGAGCGUUCUGUAAGCCUGUGAAGGUGUACUGUGAGGUACGCUGGAGGUAUCAGAAGUGCGAAUGCUGACAUAAGUAACGAUAAAGCGGGUGAAAAGCCCGCUCGCCGGAAGACCAAGGGUUCCUGUCCAACGUUAAUCGGGGCAGGGUGAGUCGACCCCUAAGGCGAGGCCGAAAGGCGUAGUCGAUGGGAAACAGGUUAAUAUUCCUGUACUUGGUGUUACUGCGAAGGGGGGACGGAGAAGGCUAUGUUGGCCGGGCGACGGUUGUCCCGGUUUAAGCGUGUAGGCUGGUUUUCCAGGCAAAUCCGGAAAAUCAAGGCUGAGGCGUGAUGACGAGGCACUACGGUGCUGAAGCAACAAAUGCCCUGCUUCCAGGAAAAGCCUCUAAGCAUCAGGUAACAUCAAAUCGUACCCCAAACCGACACAGGUGGUCAGGUAGAGAAUACCAAGGCGCUUGAGAGAACUCGGGUGAAGGAACUAGGCAAAAUGGUGCCGUAACUUCGGGAGAAGGCACGCUGAUAUGUAGGUGAAGUCCCUCGCGGAUGGAGCUGAAAUCAGUCGAAGAUACCAGCUGGCUGCAACUGUUUAUUAAAAACACAGCACUGUGCAAACACGAAAGUGGACGUAUACGGUGUGACGCCUGCCCGGUGCCGGAAGGUUAAUUGAUGGGGUCAGCGCAAGCGAAGCUCUUGAUCGAAGCCCCGGUAAACGGCGGCCGUAACUAUAACGGUCCUAAGGUAGCGAAAUUCCUUGUCGGGUAAGUUCCGACCUGCACGAAUGGCGUAAUGAUGGCCAGGCUGUCUCCACCCGAGACUCAGUGAAAUUGAACUCGCUGUGAAGAUGCAGUGUACCCGCGGCAAGACGGAAAGACCCCGUGAACCUUUACUAUAGCUUGACACUGAACAUUGAGCCUUGAUGUGUAGGAUAGGUGGGAGGCUUUGAAGUGUGGACGCCAGUCUGCAUGGAGCCGACCUUGAAAUACCACCCUUUAAUGUUUGAUGUUCUAACGUUGACCCGUGAUCCGGGUUGCGGACAGUGUCUGGUGGGUAGUUUGACUGGGGCGGUCUCCUCCUAAAGAGUAACGGAGGAGCACGAAGGUUGGCUAAUCCUGGUCGGACAUCAGGAGGUUAGUGCAAUGGCAUAAGCCAGCUUGACUGCGAGCGUGACGGCGCGAGCAGGUGCGAAAGCAGGUCAUAGUGAUCCGGUGGUUCUGAAUGGAAGGGCCAUCGCUCAACGGAUAAAAGGUACUCCGGGGAUAACAGGCUGAUACCGCCCAAGAGUUCAUAUCGACGGCGGUGUUUGGCACCUCGAUGUCGGCUCAUCACAUCCUGGGGCUGAAGUAGGUCCCAAGGGUAUGGCUGUUCGCCAUUUAAAGUGGUACGCGAGCUGGGUUUAGAACGUCGUGAGACAGUUCGGUCCCUAUCUGCCGUGGGCGCUGGAGAACUGAGGGGGGCUGCUCCUAGUACGAGAGGACCGGAGUGGACGCAUCACUGGUGUUCGGGUUGUCAUGCCAAUGGCACUGCCCGGUAGCUAAAUGCGGAAGAGAUAAGUGCUGAAAGCAUCUAAGCACGAAACUUGCCCCGAGAUGAGUUCUCCCUGACUCCUUGAGAGUCCUGAAGGAACGUUGAAGACGACGACGUUGAUAGGCCGGGUGUGUAAGCGCAGCGAUGCGUUGAGCUAACCGGUACUAAUGAACCGUGAGGCUUAACCUUACAACGCCGAAG
rnacentral:rRNA from 1 species